AUUGAACGCUGGCAGCAGGCCUAACACAUGCAAGUCGAACGGCAGCACAGAAGAGCUUGCCCUUUGGGUGGCGAGUGGCGGACGGGUGAGUAAUGUCUGGGAAACUGCCCGAUGGAGGGGGAUAACUACUGGAAACGGUAGCUAAUACCGCAUAACGUCGCGAGACCAAAGUGGGGGACCUUCGGGCCUCACACCAUCGGAUGUGCCCAGAUGGGAUUAGCUAGUAGGUGGGGUAAUGGCUCACCUAGGCGACGAUCCCUAGCUGGUCUGAGGGGAUGACCAGCCACACUGGAACUGAGACACGGUCCAGACUCCUACGGGAGGCAGCAGUGGGGAAUAUUGCACAAUGGGCGCAAGCCUGAUGCAGCCAUGCCGCGUGUAUGAAGAAGGCCUUCGGGUUGUAAAGUACUUUCAGCGGGGAGGAAGGCGGUGAGGUUAAUAACCUUGCCGAUUGACGUUACCCGCAGAAGAAGCACCGGCUAACUCCGUGCCAGCCGCCGCCGUAA
rnacentral:rRNA from 1 species